AAGCCAUGCAUGUCUAAGUAUUAGCAAUUAUACAGCGAAACUGCGAAUGGCUCAUAAAUCAGUAUCGUUUAUUGAUAGUACCUUACUACUUGGAUAACCGUGGUAAUUCUAGAGCUAAUACAUGCUAAAAAUCCCGACUCACGAAGGGAUGUAUUUAUUAGAUUAAAAACCAAUGCCCUUCGGGGCUCUUUGGUGAUUCAUAAUAACUUUUCGAAUCGCAUGGCCUUGCGCCGGCGAUGGUUCAUUCAAAUUUCUGCCCUAUCAACUUUCGAUGGCAGGGUCUUGGCCUGCCAUGGUUACAACGGGUAACGGAGGGUUAGGGCUCGACCCCGGAGAAGGAGCCUGAGAAACGGCUACUACAUCCAAGGAAGGCAGCAGGCGCGCAAAUUACCCAAUCCCGAUUCGGGGAGGUAGUGACAAUAAAUACUGAUACAGGGCUCUUUUGGGUCUUGUAAUUGGAAUGAGUACAAUUUAAAUCCCUUAACGAGGAACAAUUGGAGGGCAAGUCUGGUGCCAGCAGCCGCGGUAAUUCCAGCUCCAAUAGCGUAUAUUAAAGUUGUUGCAGUUAAAAAGCUCGUAGUUGAACCUUGGGCCUGGCUGGCCGGUCCGCCUCACCGCGUGCACUGGUUCGGCCGGGCCUUUCCCUCUGGGGAACCCUAUGGUCUUCACUGAUCGUAGCGGGGAACCAGGACUUUUACUGUGAAAAAAUUAGAGUGUUCAAAGCAGGCCUAUGCUCGAAUACAUUAGCAUGGAAUAAUAAAAUAGGACGUGUGGUUCUAUUUUGUUGGUUUCUAGGACCGCCGUAAUGAUUAAUAGGGACAGUCGGGGGCAUCAGUAUUCAAUUGUCAGAGGUGAAAUUCUUGGAUUUAUUGAAGACUAACUACUGCGAAAGCAUUUGCCAAGGAUGUUUUCAUUAAUCAGGAACGAAAGUUAGGGGAUCGAAGACGAUCAGAUACCGUCGUAGUCUUAACCAUAAACUAUGCCGACUAGGGAUCGGACGGUGUUAUUUUUUGACCCGUUCGGCACCUUACGAGAAAUCAAAGUCUUUGGGUCUG
rnacentral:rRNA from 1 species